GCAUUUCCUGGAAUUCUGGACCCGGCGUCCUCGCCCGCCGACCCGAAAACUACGGCCCCGCGGCGCCCGACCGGACCCACCUGUGGGCGCGCGCUCCAGCCGCCUCGCUGGGCGCUGCCUUCCCCCCGGCUCCUCCAGCAACUUUCAAGCGUCCCCCUGCAGUCUGGGCGCUGCUGUGCGCCAGGCCCAAGCUAGAAGCGGGGACCCCGGGAGCAUCGCAAGCCUCGAGCGGCGUGCCUUCCACCGGAUAGACGGACGCUCGUCGCAGAAACACACACCAUAAUUGUAUAGUUAAGGAACUUUCGAGGGGGGCCAGCCGUGGCCUGCAGAACCUGCAGGAGUUCAUCAGGGGUGGGUGGGGGUGGAGAGGACAUUCUACGUGAGAGACUCCAGGGAGCUGGGAGUGAAAGGAGGCGAGGAAGGCUGGAGCUCGGAGGGAGGGAGAACACAGACAGUCCCCUCCUGGGCAUUCACCUUUAAGAAACCCGCCCAGGCGCAGCCAGAGACCUGUGCAGAAUGUUCACACCAGCGCUAUUCCGAAUAACAGGAACAUUGGAAACACCCUCAAAUGCCCCUCCACGGGCGAGUGGGCAAAUAAACCGGAAUAUUCACACCAUGAAACGUUAGACAGCAGUGAAACGGAAUGAACUUCAGCCAGACAACAACAGAAACAAUGUCUCAGAAACAAUGUUGAGUGAAAAAAACUAAGUUGCGGAAAACUGCAUACAAUGGUGCAACUUUUAGAAUGUGUAAAAGCAAAACCAAAACCUCUCAUGACAUUCAAGUCCCUCUUCAACAUCAGUCCCACCACUUCCCACCACAUUGCUGAAAUGCCAAUCAACCUAGAUGAGUUGCUGGUUGCUUAAGGGUGACACAAAUUAUUUGCAAUUCUUCACAUUGCAAGAUGGAGUCUAGGUUUCCUCCUCUUGGACCUGGGCUGGCCUGAGUGACUUGUUGGAGUAAUAGAGCGUGAUGGGAGCAAGCUUCCUGGAUUUCCGAGCCUUGGUCAUAAAGAAGCUUUGUGGUGUCCUUUGGGGCCUCUUGAACAUUCUCUCUGGGAACCCAAGCUUCUAGAAGAGACCAUCAUGCUAAGAGAGUCCACAUAUGGCCAUUCCAGUUGACAGUCCCACUGAGCCCAGGCUUCCACCAUCCCUACGAAGACAGCAAUCAUGUUAGCGAAGCUGUGUUGGGCCAUCCAGCCCAGCUGCCCACUGAAAACCAGGCUUUGGUCAAUGCCAUGUGGGACAGAAGAAUUACCCAAGUAAGCCCAGCCCAAAUUCCUGACCUAUAGUAUUGAGAUAUGUAAUGAAAUGGAUGUUAUUUUAAGCCAUUGUGUUUUAGGGGGAGAUUGUCACACAGCAGUAGGUAACAGGAAUGCUUGCUUCUACCUGCCCCAGCCCUCCAGCCUCUGCACCUUAGUCACUUCCAUCCUGACACCUGGAAAACCCUUUACCCAGAUCCUAGACUAUCAAAAUUCUGCAUUCCAAAUGGGUCAGAUCCAAAGGGCCAGGCUGCGUGAUGCAGUUCUUCUGUUUGCCCCUGCAGGUGCACUCUCCACCCUUCUGCACGCUGCUCUGCUCCUCUGUGUCCGGCAGCCAUGCUGCUGUGGGUGAGACCAAUGGGCUCUCCUGCCCUCUGGCUCUGGUUGGGUUUUGUCAACAGGGAGCACCAGCAGGAGAACAGCAGAUGAGAGGAGAGAGGUCAGGAUAUUCAUUCCCCCUUUCCCUCGGUGCACAGUCACUGGGCUGACUGUGUCUCUCUACCAAGGCCACAUCUCCUGUCAGUCCUCCUGGCCCACCUCUCCAUACCCUCCCCAUUCCAGAUUCCCUCUUGCCUAUUGAUUGAUUGAUUGAUUUUGAGACAGAGUCUCACUCUGUCGCCCAGGGUGGAGUGCAGUGGUGCAAUCCCAGCUCACUGCAACCUCCACCUCCUGGGCUCAAGCAAUUCUCAUGCCUCAGCCUCUGGAGUAGCUGGAAUUACAGGCACCCACCACUAUGCCCGGCUAAUUUUUGUAUUUUUAGUAGAAACUUGGUUUUACCAUGUUGGCCAGGCUGGUCUUGAACUCCUGACCUCAAAUAAUCCACCCACCUUGGCCUCCCAAAGUGUUGGCGUUACAGGCAUGAGCUACCGUGCCUGGCCUCCUGCCGUUUUCUUGAAAGGCAGUGGUUCCCUUUGUUACCAGAGUCCCACGCCACCCGUUGUUGCUUUCCUUAAACUCUCCUCGCUAGGUUCAGGUUUCCC
rnacentral:lncRNA from 1 species